GGGAAGCGUGAACUUACUAUUCACCUUCUUCUCCAGUCUUCCUUUUCCCAUCACGAUUAAAGCCCUCGUCACCGCCUUUUCACUAUGCACCUCCAACCGCCACAAAUCCCACGACUAACGCAGCCUCUGCACGACGACGAUCGCCCAGACGAAGCCUUCUCCGCCUCGCGUCUCCAUCCAUCAGCCAUAGCCGCACUGUUUUACCAUCGCGAAGCCGUGCCGUCCAGUCUCCCCCAGUCGUCUGUGCCUCGUGCUUCACCCGUGCCGAAGCCAAUCAUGUGCAUUUCCGUCAGCUUCGAGCCUAAGUUGCGUCUCUUCGGGUGAGCUACCGUUGACGUCCGAGCCACGUCCCUUCACCGAGUCGCGUGAGCCGUCUUCAUUGAUCCGAGCCAUUCCGUGUAAGCCGUACGCCAGCCAUUUGCAACCGAGUCGUUCCUGUGUGAGCCGUACGCGAGUCAUGAGUCUCAAGACUUGAGUUGAAGCCUUGCUAGUCGAGCCACUUUCAGUUUUAGCCGUCUGCAACAUAUUUAAGCCCUUAGUGAGUUUUUGCUUAGUUCUAGUUGGGUUUGGUACGCCCAAAUAAUUAUUGUUUUAGGUCUUAAAUGAGUUAAAACUAAUUAUAUUGUUUGAAGGUUAAGGUUUGGUUGAGGAAUUGAGCUAUACAAAUUUUCAUUCAAGGUUGUAUUGAGAUCAACUUUAAAUCUUGGGGUAAGGAUAGAGACAAGGGCAAACUGGCUUAUGAAAAGAAGUGACCAUGGAUCUCAGUUUUCUUUCGCAUUUAUAUUUAAGCAGUUAUAUUUUCAUAGGUUUAUUUUAGAACUUCGAUUCAAUAUUUUGAUUAGUUAUUUUAAUUAAUUAAUUAUUUUUAUUAUUUAAA